rnacentral:misc_RNA from 1 species
CCGACUUGCGUGGAAUGAUGCCGGGCGCCUUGACGUCGACGCGCUUGCGUUCGGUCGCCUGGAUCGGGCCCUUGCCGUCGAUCGGAUUGCCGAGCGCGUCGACGACGCGGCCCAGAAGUCCCUUGCCGACCGGCGCGUCCACGAUGGCGCGGGUGCGCUUGACGGUCUGGCCUUCCUUGAUCUCGCGGUCGGCGCCGAAAAUAACGAUGCCGACGUUGUCGCUUUCAAGGUUCAGCGCCAUGCCGCGCGUGCCGUUCUCGAACUCGACCAUUUCACCGGCCUGGACGU